rnacentral:lncRNA from 1 species
AACUCUAUGCUGGAAACUGCCUGGCUCUGUAUCACGCAUCUGAAGAGGGUGCUCUCAACUUCUUCCUUAGUGGGAAUUCCCCAGAACAUUACUAGUAUGCUGUUGUUUGCUAACACAUGCCAUCCAUCUUGAGUUGCACCAUUGUUAUUUUCCGUCUAUUUCUAAGUCUCUGAGAUGGGGGUGCAUCUUCCCAUUGAUGUUGGUAUAAUUCCUGCCCA